rnacentral:tRNA from 1 species
GCAUCGGUGGUUCAGUGGUAGAAUGCACGCCUGCCACGCGGGCGGCCCGGGUUUGAUUCUCGGCCGAUGCA